ensembl:lncRNA
UGGGACCCCCCUGCCACCACCAGGAUAAAAAUUGGGAUUUUUUUUUCCCCCUAAAAAUGGAAAAAUUGGGAUUUUUUUUACCCUAAAAAUGCCAAAUUUGGGUGGAAAAUUGGGAUUUUUUUUUCCCCUUAAGAAUGGAAAAAUUGGGAUUUUUUUUCCCCCUAAAAAUGGAAAAAUUUGGAUUUUUUUACCCUUAAAAUUAGGAUUUUUUUCCCCCUUGAAAAUGGAAAAAAUGGGAAUUUUUUUUCCCCUAAAAAUGGAAAAAUUGGGAUUUUUUUCCCCCUAAAAAUGCCAAAUUUGGGUGGAAAAUUGGGAUUUUUUUUCCCCUUGAGAAUGGAAAAAUUGGGAUUUUUUUUUUACCCUAAAAAUGGAAAAUUGGGAUUUUUCCCCCCUAAAAAUGCCAGAUUUGGGUGGAAAAUUGGGAUUUUUUUUACCCUGAAAAUUGGGAAUUUUUUCCCCCUUGAAAAUGGAAAAAUUGGGAUUUUUUUCCCCCUAAAAAUGGAAAAAUUGGGAUUUUUUUUUUUCCUCUCUGGAAAUGGAAAAUUGGGAUUUUUUCCCCCAAAUUCCCCUUCCCCUCCCCCCCUUCCUUGGGGUUUUUGCCCCCCAAAUUCUGCCCCAAAAAAACCCCGUGGAAAUAAAUCAGCUCAAACCAGUUCAGACCAGUUCAGACCAGUUCAGAGCAGGAGGGGAGGGUGAAAAUCAGGAUAAAAUUGGUAUAAAAUAGAGAUUUAAAAGGGAAAAAAAUGGAGAUGGAAUGGGGUUUAAAGGGUUAAAAAUUGGGGUUAAAAUUGGGAUUAAAAUGGGUUAAAAUUUGGGGUAUAAAGAAUUAAAAUUGGGAUAAAAAUGGGGUAAAAUUGGAUUAAAAAUUGGUUUAAAAUUGGGAUAAAAAAGGGUUAAAAUUGGGAUUAUAAAGGGUUAAAAUUGGAUUAAAAAGGGUUAAAAUUGGGAUAAAAAUGGGGUAAAAUUGGGAUAAAAAUGGGGUAAAAUUUGGAUUAUAAAUGGGGUAAAAAUAGGGAUAAAAUAGGGAUAAAAAUGGGAUUAAAAUUGGAUUUAAAAUGGGUUAAAAUUGGGAUAAAAAUGGGUUAAAAUUGGGAUAAAAUUGGAAUAAAAAUGGGUUAAAAUUGGAUUAAAAAUGGGUU